AUGCAGAACCUGUUCGUGGCUGCCGAGAAUGGCGGCGGGGCGGCGCUGGUCGCAAAUCGGUCAUCCGCCUCUGGUUGGGAGACCUUCAAGCUUUGGCGUAUUGACCAGAACACCUUCAACUUCAAGGUGUUCAGCAACCAGUUCGUGACCGUUGCCGGCGUUAAUGUGGUGGCCACGGCCUCCACGCCGGGGCAGUCCGAGAUGUUCCAGCUAGUGCGAGACGACGCUGACAAGAAUAGGAUGAGGAUCAGAGCACCCAAUGUGUCCUUCUUACUGGCAAACAAUGAUGGUUCGGUGACGGCCGACUUUGGUGAGAGCACAACCUGGGGCGACGACGACCCGUCCGUGUUUGCAGUGACCAGAGUCACGGGCCUACAAGGGGAGUACCAGAUCUGCAAUGGAUAUGGCAAAGAUAAGGCCGCACAGGUCAUGAAUGACCACUGGAGCACAUACAUCGUGGAAGACGACUUUGCGUUCAUGGCAGCAAUUGGUCUGAACGCGGUGAGGAUCCCAGUGGGAUGGUGGAUCGCCAGCGACCCCAACCCUCCAGCUCCAUUCGUGGGAGGCUCUCUCCAAGCCUUGGACAACGCGUUCACAUGGGCAGAGUACGUUACAUACAUGUGUAGUCUUCACAAAACUAGAAUUUCUCAACAGGUGGCUCCCGGCGUGUCAAUAGAUAGCUUAAAAAGAUACUACCAACAGGACUACAACGCUGUUAGGAAGCACUCACUUACGGCCUAUGUGAUCAUGUCCAACCGACUUUCAGCGUCUUCGAGCGAGCUCGUCGAUUUUGCCUCACUGUUCGGAAGGGUCGUCCUUGACGGGCACUACUACCUGUUGUUCGACAACAAGUUCAACAGUUUCACUGUGCAGCAGAACAUCGAUUACGUCAACAACAACAUCGCCAGUGAUCUCAGCGCCAUGACAAGGCGAGAUGGCCCUCUCACCUUUGUUGGUGAAUGGGUGGCCGAGUGGCAGGUAAACGGUGCACCGAAGGAAGACUUCCAACGGUUUGCAAAUGCACAGAUGGCUGUGUAUCGGCAAGCUACAUUUGGAUGGGCUUACUGGACCUACAAGAAUGUUAACAACCACUGGAGUAUGCAGUGGAUGAUCAACAAUGGAUACAUCUCCUUACAAAAUGCCUGA
rnacentral:rRNA from 1 species